rnacentral:rRNA from 1 species
UACGUAGGGUGCGAGCGUUAAUCGGAAUUACUGGGCGUAAAGCGUGCGCAGGCGGUUGUGCAAGACAGAUGUGAAAUCCCGGGCUUAACCUGGAACUGCAUUUGUGACUGCACAGCUGGAGUGCGGCAGAGGGGGAUGGAAUUCCGCGUGUAGCAGUGAAAUGCGUAGAUAUGCGGAGGAACACCGAUGGCGAAGGCAGCCCCUGGCUAGCACUGACGCUCAGGCACGAAAGCGUGGGGAGCAAACAGG